UUUAGCUUUAUUUGUUAUUUAAUUAAUUGAGAUAAUUGCCGGUAAUAUUUAAUUACUUGGGUUUCAAGCUAUUGAGUUCUAUUUUGAUAUUAAUUAAUAUUUUAUUUAAUAUUAAUUAUAAACUAUGGUUUAUAACUCUGGUUUUAUGGUUGGGUCGGGUUAGACUUGGGUCGCCCGACUUGUGGGAUAGCUUGGUAGUUUUAAGAAAUUCGGCUACCCCACUAUUUGAGGAAUUGAUUUUAUUUAUCAAUUAAAUAUUAUUUUAAUAAUAUUUUCGGAUUGGAUUUAAGUACGAACUCAAUAGUCUUGAAUUAAUUACGGCAUUAUAAUUUAUUUGAGAAUUGUGUUCUUCUGUGAUUUAUCUGGUUAUUUAAUUGUGCUAGUCCUACGUGGUGUCUAGUGAUCUUAGAGUUAGGGGUCAACGGAUUUUAACCUAUUUAUUAUUUUAGACCUGUCGACUGUUCGUGCUUCGGAGUCUACGCAGGGUUAGCUGUUUGCCAAGAUCACGUGGAUAAGCAAGCAGUUUAUGAUUUGAAAGCUGGUCCACUCCGAUUCUUUUGAUUCCUCGGAGGUUUUUAUGUUAUUUAAACUAGUUACUGUUUUCGAACUCUUAGACCGCAGUAGAACUAGUUUAUAUAUUACAUUCAAUAUUACACUUUGGGAUUGUCGAAUUUGAUCGACUAUUUAUUAUUGGCAUGUUUACUCUGGAACACUUUAUAUUAUAUUUAAAGCAUGCUGUGGAA